UACAGAGGGGGCUAGCGUUGCUCGGAAUUACUGGGCGUAAAGCGCGUGUAGGCGGCUCGGCAAGUCGGAUGUGAAAGCCCUGGGCUCAACCUAGGAAGUGCAUUCGAAACUGCAGAGCUUGAGUUCUGGAGAGGAAGGCGGAAUUCUCGGUGUAGAGGUGAAAUUCGUAGAUAUCGAGAGGAACACCUGUGGCGAAGGCGGCCUUCUGGACAGUGACUGACGCUGAGACGCGAAAGCGUGGGGAGCAAACAGG
rnacentral:rRNA from 1 species